GAUGAAGAACGUAGCGAAAUGCGAUAAGUAAUGUGAAUUGCAGAAUUCAGUGAAUCAUCGAAUCUUUGAACGCACAUUGCGCCCGCCAGUAUUCUGGCGGGCAUGCCUGUUCGAGCGUCAUUACAACCCUCAGGCCCCCGGGCCUGGCGUUGGGGAUCGGCGGAAGCCCCCUGCGGGCACAACGCCGUCCCCCUAAUACAGUGGCGGUCCCGCCGCAGCUUCCAUUGCGUAGUAGCUAACACCUCGCAACUGGAGAGCGGCGCGGCCACGCCGUAAAACACCCAACUUCUGAAUGUUGACCUCGAAUCAGGUAGGAAUACCCGCUGAACUUAAGCAUAUCAAUAAGCGGAGGA
rnacentral:misc_RNA from 1 species